CGGUAAUACGUAGGCAGCAAGCGUUGUUCGGAAUUACUGGGCGUAAAGAGUGCGUAGGCGGUGCUCUAGGUUUGGUGUGAAAUCUCCCGGCUUAACUGGGUGGGUGCGCCGAAGACUGGAGAACUUGAGUGUGGGAGAGGAAAGCGGAAUUCCUGGUGUAGCGGUGAAAUGCGUAGAUAUCAGGAGGAACACCUGCGGUGUAGACAGCUUUCUGGACCACCACUGACGCUGAGGCACGAAAGCGUGGGUAGCAAACAGGAUUAGAUACCCUGGUAGUCCACGCCCUAAACGAUGCAUACUUGGUGUGGGCAGUUCAUUCUGUCCGUGCCGGAGCUAACGCGUUAAGUAUGCCGCCUGGGGAGUACGGUCGCAAGGCUGAA
rnacentral:rRNA from 1 species